CUCUCUAAAUAUCUACUUCAACCACUUACAACAGUCCAUGUCAGAGAGAGAGAGGGAGAGAGGGAGAGAGGGAGAGGCGGAGUCGGAGGCGGAGGCGGAGCGACGUGCGGCGUCGGUGGCGCAACAGAUUCCUGGUUCAUCCUUUAAAUCCGCCUCACUCUUUAUGCGUUCUUCUCUUCCCUUCCGCACCUCGCAUUUUCUCCUCGGUACUGUUGCAUGGAUUGGGAGUUCUUCUGUGAAUGCGAUGAGGUCGUGCCCGGAUCUGCGUUCUCUUCUGGGUCUUCUCCGUCUCAGAUUUUGCUGUCGGAAUGAAUUCUCGGUCGUGUUUCCAGGAUUGAUUUCUCGGUUUUUCUUUUUGUGGGUCGGACUUGUUGAGAGAGCUUGUGUUCGUUUGGUUGUUCGUUAAUGGUGUUGAGGGUGUGGUGAAGUCACUGGAGGCAGCGGUUCAUCGAUCUCUUCCUGGGGAAUUUUGUCGAUUCAAAUAAGCAAAACGCAUGAAUCGGUCGAUAAACCUCUGCAUCCAGCGCUCACUCCUUUCUUGUUCUUUGGGUGUGUUUUACUUUUUCUUUUCUCUUCGAUCUCUUUGGCUUGGUGAAAUCUUUAGAUGUUGAGAAGGGCGAGUAGUUUGAAAUUGGGUUCUAAUGGAUGAAUUGGUCUGUGGUUCUUUACUCUGCGUUUUUCUUUUUGUUUUGUUUUGUUUUGUUUUGUUUUCUUGGGUUUUCACACUAAACGAGGUUCUUGUUUGUGCUCCUAGCUUGAUAAUGCUUUUUGCAUGCUUUCAUAAUGCAAAUUAUCAGCUUCCAUGUCCGCUUGGCUUGUGAUGCUGUGGUAACUUACAGAUUUUUAUGAAAUGUAGUAUUUCUUGAUAAGGAAAAAUUGUCGGGAACUUCUGUGAUCUUGAAAAAAGAAAGAAAGAAAUAAAGAAAGAGAGAAGGAUAGUGUGGAUCAUUCGAAGGUGACGCUUUUUAGGAGGAUUUUCUGCAGUUGUGGUGGUGAUUUCACUAUGCUUGCAACUGUUAGAGCUGCAAUUUGUUGUUGAGAUUUGACCAUAUGAAGUUGACAAAUUUUUUGCUUACCCAUAGAUUUCUCCGAGUAAAUUGACCUGCUUUGAAGCAUUACUAUAGUUGCCAAUGCGCGCGGAGCGGACUAUUGUUGAUUGAAUGUGUGGAGUUGAUUUCUCCUCUCGUGUUUCAUCAUCAUCAUUUCAGUUCAUUUCUGGUUCUCCCUCUCAGUCCCAGUUUCUUCGAAUAGUUGCUGAUGAAGGUUCUCCAAUACGAAAAGAUGUCGAAAUUUGUGGGAAAUUGUGGUUUCCUUUUAUGAAGUACAAGUUUGAUAUCAUUUGCCGAAUGGUCGUUAUCUUCACUACAAGCCUGCAUACGUUUAACAAUUCAGUUAGCUUAUCUUUCUAGAUGCCUUCCUCAAAGCGACGUGUUUCCCCUGAUUCUUCUUCAUAAUUUCCUUUGCACCUUUUGGCCAAAAGUUGUGUUCUUCGUGUUGACGCAUUGGAUUAUUUACAAGCUCAAGCUUAUUAUUGCUUCUGUACCUUUUGACAUAAGUACUCCGGGGAGUGAUUUAUCCAGAAGUUUCUACUGGGUCACGCAUGAUUUGAGUUUCAGGAAGUCGUUAGGCAUUUUAAUUUUCUUUUUCCUUCUCUGUCCCUAUCUUUGUUAGUGGAAGUGUGAUACUGGCCGUCUGCAAUGUACCGCAUAGUCUUCUCAUGGUAGCCAUUGUCUAGUUUUUGGGAUGAAAGUGGUUCCCUUCCCAUGAACAUGUCAUUUUCUUUGAUCUGGUGCUAGAAAAGUGGUUCCUUGGUUCCUUUUGGUUCCCCAAGGGGACCAUCUUUGAAUGAAGUUUUCCAGCCGCAGGACAAGCUGCGGCUUCAAAGUGAGGAAAACAACAGCUUGUGGACUACAACUUGGGAGAGAGAAUCCGAAACAUUUGAAGGGAAGCACUUUUGGAAUCUGGCAUCAUGUUCCGCUUACGAAGCUAGCUUGGAAAGAAAGGAAAAGAUUCUUUUGUGUGUACACUGUGGAGGAAUCACCAAAAUCUGGGGGCUUGGGUUUGUGGAAGAAUCUAGGAUGACAUCUGCAGGGCCUUCAGUUUUGUUUGAAGAAAACGGCUCGCCCCCAUUGGCAUCAAUCGGGCUGUUUCGUGCCGUUUAUUGCUUGUCCUCAGAGAAGAUAAUAACUUCGCCGUGCAGUAUUUCCUCAUAUUAUUUCGCGAUUAAUCUCGUGUAUUGCCUAAUGAUGGUGAGGUUGAAAUUAUUGGCUUAGACUGUUUUAAGGAGUUCCGCAAGUUAAAUUUUAGUUUCCUGUCAA